AUGGACUUCAGCAUCAGCUUGGUUUUCCUUGUGCUCAUUUUAAAAAGUGUCCAGUGUGAGGUACAGCUGGUGGAGUCUGGCAGAGGCUUAGUGCAGCCUGGAAAGUCCCUGAAACUCUCCUGUUCAGCCUCUGGAUUCACAUUCAGUAUCUAUGGCAUGCACUGGAUUCGCCAAGCUCCAGGAAAGGGGCUAGAUUGGGUUGCAUACAUUAGUAGUAGCAGCGGUACAACCUAUGCAGACGCUGUGAAGGGCCGGUUCACCAUCUCCAGAGACAAUGCGAAGAACACCCUGUACCUGCAAUUGAGCAGUCUGAAGUCUGAGGACACUGCCAUCUAUUACUGUGCAAGAAACACAGUGAUCAAAUGA